rnacentral:lncRNA from 1 species
AUGCUUGUGUUUUAUUGAUUUGGUAUCGGCUUUAAGGGAGAGGCUACUAGUCAUUUAGCAUGCAUUGAUAUCUAUAAUGAUCAUUCCCUAUGUCGAAUGGAUUUUACUAAAGUAAAUGAUCAUUGGAUGAAGAGUACGGGUAUAGAUAGAGCUAAUGAUGGUGAUGGUGGUGAUGAUGAUGAGGAUAGAGCUAAGGGGGAG